rnacentral:rRNA from 1 species
UACGGAGGGUGCAAACGUUGCUCGGAAUCAUUGGGCGUAAAGCGCACGUAGGCGGCGAAGCAAGUUGGGUGUGAAAGCCCUGGGCUCAACCCAGGAAGUGCAUUCAAAACUGCUUCGCUUGAAUCUCGGAGGGGGUCAGAGAAUUCCCGGUGUAGAGGUGAAAUUCGUAGAUAUCGGGAGGAAUACCAGUGGCGAAGGCGCUGACCUGGACGAAGAUUGACGCUGAGGUGCGAAAGCGCGGGGAGCAAACAGGAUUAGAUACCCUGGUAGUCCGCGCUGUAAACGAUGAGUGCUAGACGGUGGAGGUAUUGACCCCUUCGCUGCCGAAGCUAACGCGUUAAGCACUCCGCCUGGGGAGUACGGUCGCAAGACUAAA